rnacentral:lncRNA from 1 species
AAAGGAGGAACGGGUGAACCCAAAAUCCUGGGCUGAAGGACUGCCCACGGGAGUGCUUCUCACAGGGUGACUCACGGACAAGCUUCGGUCUGUUGGUUUUCGGUGGAUUUCUCCUAGCAUGCUGGGAACUGCUCAUCACUCAGCGCCAGCAAGAUCUUUCCUCCUCCAUGUCAUCACCACUGACAGGAAAGGACCAGUCUCACUCAAAUGGAAAGCAUAGCAAUAGGAAACCCACAAGAACUCAUGUCUGUGCCGUGUUGGGCACUCAGGAUUCUAGAGCAUGUCCGAUGACUCUCUCAGCAGUCCGGAGUUAAAUGUGUAUAUUUCAGAACAGUGAGUCUUCUACCACCUUCUGCCUCAGUGAGAAAGAAUGAGAUUUAUGUGGCCCAGUAGGGAGGCACAGUCUGUUCUUAUUGACACAGCAAAGGAGACCAGUUUGUCAAGGUCAUAGUCAUUUUUGUUUUGUUUAUUAAUACCUUGAGGUUAGGUUGCUAAGAGAAAGUCCACUGAAAAUCAUUCAGGAGACCAUGAGCAACCACCACAACAAAAAUGGGCCCUAAAAAAACAAAAACAAAAAACUUCAUUUAUUUUGUUCGUUUGUUUGGGUUUGGGUUUGGGUUUGGUUUGGUUUGUUUUUUUUUUUUUUUUCC